rnacentral:rRNA from 1 species
GACGAACCGUGCGAACGUUAUUCGGAAUCAUUGGGCGUAAAGCGCGCGUAGGCGGCCCUGUAAGUCCGUUGUGAAAGUCAAAGGCUCAACCUUUGAAAGCCGAUGGAUACUGCAGGGCUAGAGUCCGGAAGAGGCGAGUGGAAUUCCUGGUGUAGCGGUGGAAUGCGCAGAUAUCAGGAGGAACACCAAUAGCGAAGGCAGCUCGCUGGGACGGUACUGACGCUAAGGCGCGAAAGCGUGGGAGCGAACGAGGA